rnacentral:lncRNA from 1 species
CUUUAAUAUCAUAUUGGUCCACUGAGUAUACAUAUUUUAACAAAAGGUAAGAAUCUAUGUAAUCCAGUUAAACACACAUAAGAUUAAGGUACACUUAUUACACUGAAAGUUGGUGUUUAUAAGUUACAGAUAUUUAGUACUUUCCAGAGUGUUCUCAGCCCUUGCUUUGUCUGUAUGACUUUCAUGCUGAAAUGCUUUAAUUUAUAAAAGUAGAAAAAAGCAAUGCAGGAAAGUAGUUUAAAUUCAUUUUGAACUGCAGUAAUCCAAUUGUGUGUGGAGAGAAAAAAAGCACCAUUUCAAAAUGAAAUAAUUGGAUAUUCUGGAAUUUAUUUGUAAGCUAGGCAAUAAGUUACUCUUAUUAACACAGAUCAAUACCACCUUGACUUGGUGACCACAGACACAUUUAAUUAGUUUUUAGGUGCAUUUUCUUUUAUCUUGGUUUUCAACACAUUAUUUAAGUCAGUGACUGAUGUUAAAAAAAAUUUAGAUUACUCUACAAUUUACAGCCUACUUCACAGUCCAUUUUAAAUUCAACUUGUCUGCUAA